GAUGAACGCUGGCGGCGUGCCUAAUACAUGCAAGUCGAGCGAACGGACGAGAAGCUUGCUUCUCUGAUGUUAGCGGCGGACGGGUGAGUAACACGUGGAUAACCUACCUAUAAGACUGGGAUAACUUCGGGAAACCGGAGCUAAUACCGGAUAAUAUUUUGAACCGCAUGGUUCAAAAGUGAAAGACGGUCUUGCUGUCACUUAUAGAUGGAUCCGCGCUGCAUUAGCUAGUUGGUAAGGUAACGGCUUACCAAGGCAACGAUGCAUAGCCGACCUGAGAGGGUGAUCGGCCACACUGGAACUGAGACACAGUCCAGACUCCUACGGGAGGCAGCAGUAGGGAAUCUUCCGCAAUGGGCGAAAGCCUGACGGAGCAACGCCGCGUGAGUGAUGAAGGUCUUCGGAUCGUAAAACUCUGUUAUUAGGGAAGAACAUAUGUGUAAGUAACUGUGCACAUCUUGACGGUACCUAAUCAGAAAGCCACGGCUAACUACGUGCCAGCAGCCGCGGUAAUACGUAGGUGGCAAGCGUUAUCCGGAAUUAUUGGGCGUAAAGCGCGCGUAGGCGGUUUUUUAAGUCUGAUGUGAAAGCCCACGGCUCAACCGUGGAGGGUCAUUGGAAACUGGAAAACUUGAGUGCAGAAGAGGAAAGUGGAAUUCCAUGUGUAGCGGUGAAAUGCGCAGAGAUAUGGAGGAACACCAGUGGCGAAGGCGACUUUCUGGUCUGUAACUGACGCUGAUGUGCGAAAGCGUGGGGAUCAAACAGGAUUAGAUACCCUGGUAGUCCACGCCGUAAACGAUGAGUGCUAAGUGUUAGGGGGUUUCCGCCCCUUAGUGCUGCAGCUAACGCAUUAAGCACUCCGCCUGGGGAGUACGACCGCAAGGUUGAAACUCAAAGGAAUUGACGGGGACCCGCACAAGCGGUGGAGCAUGUGGUUUAAUUCGAAGCAACGCGAAGAACCUUACCAAAUCUUGACAUCCUUUGACAACUCUAGAGAUAGAGCCUUCCCCUUCGGGGGACAAAGUGACAGGUGGUGCAUGGUUGUCGUCAGCUCGUGUCGUGAGAUGUUGGGUUAAGUCCCGCAACGAGCGCAACCCUUAAGCUUAGUUGCCAUCAUUAAGUUGGGCACUCUAAGUUGACUGCCGGUGACAAACCGGAGGAAGGUGGGGAUGACGUCAAAUCAUCAUGCCCCUUAUGAUUUGGGCUACACACGUGCUACAAUGGACAAUACAAAGGGCAGCGAAACCGCGAGGUCAAGCAAAUCCCAUAAAGUUGUUCUCAGUUCGGAUUGUAGUCUGCAACUCGACUACAUGAAGCUGGAAUCGCUAGUAAUCGUAGAUCAGCAUGCUACGGUGAAUAGCGUUCCCGGGUCU
rnacentral:rRNA from 1 species